rnacentral:rRNA from 1 species
UACGUAGGGGGCAAGCGUUGUCCGGAUUUACUGGGCGUAAAGAGCGUGUAGGCGGCCACGCAGGUCCGUUGUGAAAACUGGAGGCUCAACCUCCAGCUGUCGACGGAAACCGUGUGGCUAGAGUCCGGAAGAGGAGAGUGGAGUUCCUGGUGUAGCGGUGAAAUGCGCAGAUAUCAGGAAGAACACCCGUGGCGAAGGCGGCUCUCUGGGACGGUACUGACGCUGAGACGCGAAAGCGUGGGGAGCAAACAGG